UGCCUUAUAGUAUAUAACCAACAAUUACUGUAAAUUGCAACUUUACCAAAGCAAAAGCUAAGGCAU
rnacentral:tRNA from 1 species